ACGCCGGUAGUUCAGCCCGGAAGAAUGCCCGGUUCGCACCCGGGAGGUCGCGGGUUCAAAUCCCGCCCGGUCCACCA
rnacentral:tRNA from 2 species